CCUACGGGUGGCAGCAGUGGGGAAUAUUGGGCAAUGGGCGCAAGCCUGACCCAGCAACGCCGCGUGAAGGAAGAAGGCUUUCGGGUUGUAAACUUCUUUUGUCAGGGACGAAGCAAGUGACGGUACCUGACGAAUAAGCCACGGCUAACUACGUGCAAGCAGCCGCGGUAAUACGUAGGUGGCAAGCGUUAUCCGGAUUUACUGGGUGUAAAGGGCGUGUAGGCGGGGAAGCAAGUCAGAUGUGAAAACCACGGGCUCAACCUGUGGCCUGCAUUUGAAACUGUUUUUCUUGAGUGCUGGAGAGGCAAUCGGAAUUCCGUGUGUAGCGGUGAAAUGCGUAGAUAUAUGGAAGAACACCAGUGGCGAAGGCGGCUGUCUGGUCUGCAACUGACGCUGAGGCUCGAAAGCAUGGGUAGCGAACAGGAUUAGAUACCCUUGUAGUC
rnacentral:rRNA from 1 species